CGCAGCCAAAGUCGGAGGGGUGGCGAGCUGCGCAUGCGCAGGUGGAACUGGUGUGAUUAGCCCUGCCGCAGUGACUGGAACACAGAGUGGAGUGGUCGCCGGAGAUGCCUGAAGGUCUGUUCUGAGGAGCGGCUAGCAGCGCGAUGGAGCGGGCCAGGGACCGCUUACACCUGAGACGGACCACGGAGCAGCACGUACCAGAGGUGGAAGUACAAGUCAAACGUAGAAGGACAGCCUCACUGAGCAACCAAGAGUGUCAGCUCUACCCAAGGCGAUCUCAGCAGCAGCAAGUACCUGUGUUGGAUUUCCAGGCGGAAUUGAGACAGGCAUUCUUAGCAGAGACACCAAGAGGUGGUUAAAGCAGUAUUUGGAACAUCCAGGUUAGCUGAUUUCCAAGUGAAAAACCAGGAAUGUUUGGCUUCUCAGUGCAUUUCAUAUACUCUUGAAAACUUUGCUCUUUGGGUAGAUCUGCUGACAUGGAUGGCUCUUAGAUUUUGACAUGAGUGAUUGUGCACCAUAUACAAAGAAAACCUGUUCUCUCAUAUCUCCUUAAGUAAUGAUGACGGCGUCUUUUGCAAGUUAGAGUUUUUUCAGUCUUAUGAAGUGCCCUUUUGUCCACAUAGUUGAUGACUGAAAGGAGGAGAGAAUUUAACCACUCAAUUUUCUGACAUGUCACUGUGGAUCCUACCCAGUAGUUUCUCAAGGAGGCUUAAAACUGUAUUAGCUGCAUUUAGGACAAACGUAAACCACUACAGGUAAACUAACCUUUUAAAGAAAAGUAAUAGUGCAUUACAGAGGCCUUGGCUAGGUUCAUGAUGACACAGGACCUUGUCUGAACAUAAUGAUUUUAAAAUUUGAGCUUAAAUGACACUCUGAAAUCUAGUCAAUGUGCCUCAGUAGACUUUACAGAGAACAUUAUUUUCAAUAAAAAAUUUUGGCUUACUGUGCAAACUUUGAAUACUUAGAAAUGGCAGGUGUAGCAGUAUACUUUGUCAGUUUCUUAGACAUCCUUUUUUUUUUUAAAUGUUUAUACAUAUUCUGAGCUCAUUAUUUUUUCCCUUUUUUUUUAAAACAUAUAUGCUGUUGAAAGCAAAAAAGGAAGCUCAUCCUUAGAUCCCAGAAGGUACAUGCAUAUGCUGAGUGGAAGCAAGGACAUGUAAAAGGGAGACUACUACUUCUUGGAUCACACAUUGGAUGACAGAUGUUUAAGUGAUGAUGUCCAGGAAAAUGGGGAACUAAUAUUUAUGGAAAAUAUAUUAUGAAAUACAGUGAGUAUGGGGUAAGAAGAUCUCUUUCUUAGUGAGAUGAUGAAGGCCCAAUAAGAGAGCAAUAUUUGAAAUCCAUUUCCAAGGAUAUGUUUGUUCUAUAUGUGAAUGUUGAUUUACAGCUUCAGGUGUUAAUGCAGCAAGUCCAUCUCCGCCAAAAUGGCCAUUAUGAAUUGUUUGUGAGUGAUCAUGAAGAGCAUGUGGUUUAGAGACUCUAGUGCAGCAGAGAGUUUUACACACUGAAACAGCAUUGUGGGACUCCAGAAAUGAACAUGGGAGAAGAUAGGAUUUCAGAUGAACACAAUGAAAGGAAGAGAUUUACAGAUAAUCUGAGGACAGCUGACAUUCCUAUGGUCUUUCUUAAUUCAUAAGUCUUAACUGGGAACUACAGGAGAUGAUAAUUCUAAGAAAACACACUUUUGCCAUCUUUGUUUGUAAUUGCAAGAAUCGGUACAGUAAGACCUCUGUUGGCAAUAUUACUCAUUUGAGUAUUCGUCACCUCCCAUCUCUGGCUUCGGGAAUACUGCUUGGCAAAAUGAUUGUGAUGCCCAAAUAGGAAACUAAUGUUACUGCUUCUGACACCAUGUUCAAAUCCAAAAACGGUCUUUAUAACGUAUGGAGACUCCUCCUUUCAUGUGUUGGAGUAGACACUCCUCCAGAAAAACUGGACUGAGAAAGCCCUUGUUUGAAAGUUACCUAAAGAUUAUCAUUGGAGGGAAUUGUAACCAGGCAUGUUGACUGUUUUCAUUAUUGACAUUGGACUAAAUGUCGGGAGCUUGAAUGAUGGAGAUGCUAUUACACAGAGAAACUCAGGAUGAUAUGAUUGCAAGGCUUCAUUUCAAUGUUCCCAUAAGUAUUAAGUGCACAUAUUUAUAAUUUUCACUUUUAACAGGGUAAAUUUAAAAUAGAUGCAGAAAAAUAAAUUAUCUUUUUUCCAGAUUUGAAAGGACACAGAAAUUUGUAAAGGGUAGUAUUUUUACUUUUUAAAUGCUUUUUCCUCCCUCCUAAUUCUACUCCCCAAUAUUAUCUGCUGUUAAGGAGUUUUGUGCAUAUCCUUUUGGGGCAUAUCGAUAAACAAAUUGAUAAUGCCAGUAGUCAUUUGGGCCCAUACAUUAGCUACAAAUUUUCUCUUCAGUGAACAUGCUUAUAUGUAAUCUAUUUUUUAACUUCUCCAGCUAAGUUGUUGAAAUAGUCCUACUACUUCCACUUCAUUGGAAUUAAGUAUAUCCAAAAUUUAUGUUUUGAGUUAAAAGUAGAGAUUUCCCCAGAAUUGUGUAAAUUAUCCUCAUCAAUAUUGUCUCCCAAUGUUUGUUUAUGAGACUUCUUUUUUCUAAAACAGUACAAACAUUGGAUGUUAAUGUUUUAAUCUUUGAUAGUGUGAUACUACAAAGAAAGUAUUUUUCUUCAGUUAUUGUUCACUUCGGUCAUCUUCAUAUGUCCUUAAACUGUACUAGUCAUUUGUUAUUCUGUGUUUUGUGUUACUUUGUUUUUUGUUUUUUGUUUUUUUUUCAUUUCCCUUGGAAUACUAGUGUCUUUGUUACUGGCUUUUAAAAGAUCUUUUAUGACUAACGAUUUUAACCAUUUACCAUGCUUUGCAAAUGAAAUACCAUGUUUUUUCACCAUUUUACUGUGAUAUUUUACUUUUUGGUGUACAGAAGUUGUAUAUUGAAAUAUAAAAAUAUUGUGUUUCAUG